rnacentral:rRNA from 1 species
ACGGCUCAGUAACACGUGGAUAACCUGCCCUUGGGUCCGGCAUAACCCCGGGAAACUGGGGAUAAUUCCGGAUAACGCAUAUAUGCUGGAAUGCUUUAUGCGUCAAAUGGAUUCGUCUGCCCAAGGAUGGGUCUGCGGCCUAUCAGGUAGUAGUGGGUGUAAUGUACCUACUAGCCGACGACGGGUACGGGUUGUGAGAGCAAGAGCCCGGAGAUGGAUUCUGAGACAUGAAUCCAGGCCCUACGGGGCGCAGCAGGCGCGAAAACUUUACAAUGCGGGAAACCGUGAUAAGGGGACACCGAGUGCCAGCAUCAUAUGCUGGCUGUCCGGGUGUGUAAAAUACACCUGUUAGCAAGGGCCGGGCAAGACCGGUGCCAGCCGCCGCGGUAACACCGGCGGCCCGAGUGGUGAUCGUGAUUAUUGGGUCUAAAGGGUCCGUAGCCGGUUUGGUCAGUCCUCCGGGAAAUCUGACGGCUUAACCGUUAGGCUUUCGGAGGAUACUGCCAGGCUUGGAACCGGGAGAGGUAAGAGGUACUACAGGGGUAGGAGUGAAAUCUUGUAAUCCCUGUGGGACCACCUGUGGCGAAGGCGUCUUACCAGAACGGGUUCGACGGUGAGGGACGAAAGCUGGGGGCACGAACCGGAUUAGAUACCCGGGUAGUCCCAGCCGUAAACGAUGCUCGCUAGGUGUCAGGCAUGGCGCGACCGUGUCUGGUGCCGCAGGGAAGCCGUGAAGCGAGCCACCCGGGAAGUACGGCCGCAAGGCUGAAACUUAAAGGAAUUGGCGGGGGAGCAC